GUAAGGUGCAGAAUUAUUUUUGCAAUGUGUUCCUGAAUAUGUCGUGUAAGUAUAUUGGGAACAUUUUGCAUCCAUAGUUUUGUAUCAAUAUA
rnacentral:pre_miRNA from 13 species